AGCAGCGUGGCCUAAUGGAAAGAGCAGCGGCCUGGGAGUCAGAAGGACCCGGGUUCUAAUCCCGGCUCUGCCG
rnacentral:tRNA from 1 species